GCCAUAGCAACAAGAAAAUGCUUUCACGGGGCUUGAGUGAAUACAGAAUGCCGUAAUUAACAUUUACAUAAUAGGCAGAUAGCUUUGUUGUAAACAACAAUAAUCAAACUAUCCUAUGACUAUUGGUAAAGUUUACCGGCAGAUGUUUGAUGCCCAGGUAACAGCAUUCAUAGUAUCUGAAGAAAAUGUUCAGUUGUCUCUGGCUCUCUAUGACUCGUGGAGGAAGCGCUUGGCGGAUGAGGACGGUAUGCUGCUGCUGUUUAAAGACAUUAAUCAUGAUUAAAAGUACUCUGUUUGAUAGGAACACACUUUAUUCUGGUGGAAAAAGAAGUGAGGACCAGGAUGAUAGUGAGGAGGUUUGGGGUCUUUCAGACACUGUUGGUGAAAACUGAAAGUCUCAGUGAUGCUG
ensembl:lncRNA